AAUAAACCAAUUUUUUACUUUUUACAUAUAAUUUUUGACUCUUUGUCUUAUUUAAUUUUUUUAUUGAUAUUUUUGUCUUUAUUAGAUGAUAAAUUAUAAAUAGUAUUUUACGUGUGACUAAUUUUUUUCUAAUUUUUCAAAUAAAACAGAUGGUCAAACAUUGGACACGGAAACU
rnacentral:pre_miRNA from 1 species